AUCUAGGCUCUUGCAUCGAUGAAGAACGUAGCGAAAUGCGAUACUUGGUGUGAAUUGCAGAAUCCCGUGAACCAUCGAGUCUUUGAACGCAAGUUGCGCCCGAUGCCAUUAGGUUGAGGGCACGUCUGCCUGGGUGUCACAUAUCGAAGCCUCCUGCCAAUUUU
rnacentral:rRNA from 10 species